UACGUAGGGUGCGAGCGUUAUCCGGAUUCACUGGGUUUAAAGGGUGCGUAGGUGGGCAGGUAAGUCAGUGGUGAAAUCUCCGGGCUUAACCCGGAAACUGCCAUUGAUACUAUCAGUCUUGAAUACCGUGGAGGUAAGCGGAAUAUGUCAUGUAGCGGUGAAAUGCUUAGAUAUGACAUAGAACACCAAUUGCGAAGGCAGCUUACUACCCGAAUAUUGACACUGAGGCACGAAAGCGUGGGGAUCAAACAGG
rnacentral:rRNA from 1 species